rnacentral:rRNA from 1 species
GACGAACGCUGGCGGCGUGCUUAACACAUGCAAGUCGUACGGUAAGGCCCUUUCGGGGGUACACGAGUGGCGAACGGGUGCGUAACACGUGAGUAACCUGCCCACAACUUUGGGAUAACGCUAGGAAACUGGUGCUAAUACUGGAUAUGUGCCCCUGCUGCAUGGUGGGGGUUGGAAAGCUCCGGCGGUUGUGGAUGGACUCGCGGCCUAUCAGCUUGUUGGUGGGGUAGUGGCCUACCAAGGCGGCGACGGGUAGCCGGCCUGAGAGGGUGACCGGCCACAUUGGGACUGAGAUACGGCCCAGACGCCUACGGGAGGCAGCAGUGGGGAAUAUUGCACAAUGGGCGCAAGCCUGAUGCAGCAACGCCGCGUGCGGGAUGACGGCCUUCGGGUUGUAAACCGCUUUCAGCAGGGACGAAGCUUUUUGUGACGGUACCUGCAGAAGAAGCACCGGCUAACUACGUG